rnacentral:rRNA from 1 species
CACCAGGUUGAUUCUGCCUGACGUAGACGCUAUUCCCUAAGAUUAACCCAUGCAUGUUUUUGACAUUUGAAAAAUGGACUGCUCAGUAAUACUCACUUUAUUUUAUGUAAAUUUUUAAUUAACUACGUUAAAGUGUAGAUAAGAUGUUUACAGUAAGAGUGAGACCUAUCAGCUAGUUGUUAAGGUAAUGGCUUAACAAGGCUGUGACGGGUAACGGUAUUACUUUGUAAUAUUCCGGAGAAGGAGCCUGAGAGACGGCUACUAAGUCUAAGGAUUGCAGCAGGGGCGAAACUUGACCUAUGGAUUUUAUCUGAGGCAGUUAUGGGAAGUAAUAUUAUAUUGUUUCAUAUUUUAAAAGUAUAUGAGGUGAUUAAUUGGAGGGCAAAUCAAGUGCCAGCAGCCGCGGUAAUACUUGUUCCAAGAGUGUGUAUGAUGAUUGAUGCAGUUAAAAAGUCCGUAGUUUAUUUUUUUAAGAAGCAAUAUGAGGUGUACUGUAUAGUUGGGAGAAAGAUGAAAUGUGACGACCCUGACUGGACGAACAGAAGCGAAAGCU